rnacentral:rRNA from 1 species
AACGAACGCUGGCGGCAGGCCUAACACAUGCAAGUCGAGCGCGCCUUCGGGUGAGCGGCGGACGGGUGCGUACCGCGUGGGAAUAUGCCCUUCUCUACGGAAUAGUCCUGGGAAACUGGGGGUAAUACCGUAUACGCCCUUUGGGGGAAAGAUUUAUCGGGGAAGGAUUAGCCCGCGUUGGAUUAGGUAGUUGGUGGGGUAAUGGCCUACCAAGCCGACGAUCCAUAGCUGGUUUGAGAGGAUGAUCAGCCACACUGGGACUGAGACACGGCCCAGACUCCUACGGGAGGCAGCAGUGGGGAAUCUUAGACAAUGGGGGCAACCCUGAUCUAGCCAUGCCGCGUGAGUGAUGAAGGCCUUAGGGUUGUAAAGCUCUUUCAGCUGGGAAGAUAAUGACGGUACCAGCAGAAGAAGCCCCGGCUAACUCCGUG